rnacentral:rRNA from 1 species
AUGCUUAUCUUUAGCCGCUAUUGUUUAUCUGGACUUAGUAGACUUCACAAAAGUGAGCAACGAAACAUCAAUUAUGCAGUCCAUAGAAUAGUCCAUGUUCAGAAUGAAGACUUUGACUAUCUAUCUAUAGUGGACUUGAACACAUCAUCAAAGAAGCCGUUUGUAUUGGGAUUCUUACCACUGAGAGACAUCUCCUCGACACCUUACAGUGCUCGUGCAAUCGUAUUGGCUGAGGAAAAGUGGCUGAAUGCCCCACAAACUUACCAUAAUGAGGAAAAUGUCAUUCCAAACUACAGUGACAUCUCAAAUGUUGCAUCUACUUCGAACCAUAAUCCAGAAAGUAUGUUUGCAUAUAUGCAAGCAACUCUGUUGUCUUUACAACCAAAUUCAAACAUGCAAGUCAACAUUGCUGGCACUUCAACCAUAAAUCCCAUUAUUCUUCUUUCAGCAGCAAACAACAGGAAUAAUCUCAGUGAACCAGCAGUAAACACCAACAAUCGCCCAGUUGAGGUAAACAAUGAGCCAAUUAGAUGUUCUUUAUUCCAAGAUCAUGUAGGAGUCAGUCCUACUCCUGAUGUUACCUUAAGCCACACCAGCAAGGACAUCCAAGUUCAAAUUCCAACUCGAGUUCUAGAGCAAGUGUCAGUUCCUCAGCAAGUACAGGAAACUGACCGAGCACCUACAACUGUGAACAUUGGGUUUUUUGUGGUAUUAAUGAAGCGAAUUCAGUUGGGAACAAUGGUAAUCAUUUUCACAACACACUUAAUCAAUAUAUUUCUUUUUAGUCAAACAAGUGAGAGCACUCAAUUUGAUUUUAACACUCUUAUUGACAUCUCAGAUAGUGAGGCAAAUCAGAUAGAUUUUCAGCAUGUCAACAUUGUGCCUGAAAUCCCUCUUUCUGGGAACUCAGUUUAUGUCAGUGAGCAAGUUCAGAGAUGCCCGAACCGACCCCAUGUUCAAACACCUGUGGAAAUCAAAAUGUACAAUGAAGUUGAAGGUGUUUGGUUGGCUGCUUUUUCACGACAGACUCAACACACGACAUGCUGGACCAAACUUGGUAUUCAAUGGACCCCCUUUGGUAACCGUCUCACUGCUCUCAAGUUGAACAGAGACUCCUGGCGUGACCCAUUUUUCAUGGAAAUUUUUCUCACUGCCAGAUGGAGCCUAUGGAAGGAAGGAACAACAAACACUUCCAUGGAGUUGACCCUACUGUUGGGUCCUGGUUUUCAUGCUUCAAAAAUGACCUAG